GGUUCCGUGGCCGAGUGGCUAGGCAGAGGUCUGCAAAACCUUUUACGGCGGUUCGAAUCCGUUCGGAACCUCAA
rnacentral:tRNA from 2 species